CCUACGGGAGGCAGCAGUGGGGAAUAUUGCACAAUGGGGGAGACCCUGAUGCAGCGAAGCCGCGUGAAGGAAGAAGUAUUUAGGUAUGUAAACUUCUAUCAGCAGGGAAGAAAAUGACGGUACCUGACUAAGAAGCCCCGGCUAACUACGUGACAGCAGCCGCGGUAAUACGUCGGGGGCAAGCGUUAUCCGGAUUUACUGGGUGUAAAGGGGGCGUAGGCGGGUUAGCAAGUCAGAAGUGAAAGCCGGGGGCUCAACUCCGGGACUGCUUUUGAAACUGUUGAACUAGAUUGCAGGAGAGGUAAGUGGAAUGCCUAGUGUAGCGGUGAAAUGCGUAGAUAUUAGGAGGAACACCAGUGGCGAAGGCGGCUUACUGGACUGUAAAUGACGCUGAGGCUCGAAAGCGUGGGGAGCAAACAGGAUUAGAUACCCUUGUAGUC
rnacentral:rRNA from 1 species